CUACUGUUGUGCUGGUGUAUGAGCGAGGAUUGUCGAAGAAUCAAAAGGCGAUCUGACCGCUAGGAAUAUCGGAGAUAUGUCAGAGAGCCUCGAAGAUCCGCUUGUCGACGAUCAUCAGUCGUCAAAACCGGGGGAAAAUGAAGACUCGACUCCGGAAGUUGCGGCCGAGUCCAAAGUCAGAGAGAAAAGUAGUUCUCCGGGAUUUUGCUCCAGCGUCGUUGCAUUGAACACACUGAAAGCUCAGCCCAGCUUUCCGACCUCAAAUUCCGACACCAUGAUUCGUUACGUUGGAGAUGGUGUCGGUGGUGUUGGUACCGAAGGGCUGGCUAGACGUCAUUCCUCGAAUGUCGUGGAUGGUACGACGAAGCUGAGUGACCGAGAGGGAAUCCUGAAUAAUCAAGGUUCCGUAGCUACGAACGUGAGGAGGAAACGUCACUCUUUUCUUCAUCUACAUUUGCCGGAACAUCAAGGAUGGUCGGCGAGCAACCUCGCCGGCGGUAAUCAACACCAUCACACAUUCGCUUCUCAUCUGUCUCACUUCCACGUGCCUACCCUGACGUUCACCGCACCAGCGGCCGAUGGAACUGGUCGGAAGUUCAGCUUUGGCAUCCGGAGACACUCGCACACGACGCUUCACCGUUCGGACUCGAUGGUUUCGCUCUGUUACCGAUCCAUCGUCAAUUUCAUUACUGACGACAAUCUCUUGGGCUUGCAAAACUUUCUUGAGAACAAGCGGGUCCAGGUUGACGAUCGCGACGAAAAUGGAAGUACGGCACUUAUUUAUGCCGCAUCUAAAGGAAAAAUACACUUUGUUCGGGAAUUGAUCAACCAUGGAGCGGACGUCAAUGUCGAAGACGGGGACGAUUGGACAGCGUUAUUGUGCGCAGCCAAAGAAGGAUACACAGAUGUAUGCCUCGAGCUGCUUGAACAUGGUGCCCAAUUGGAGCAUCGUGAUAUGGGAGGAUGGUCAGCACUCAUGUGGGCUACGUACAAAGGCAGAUCCGAAACGGUAUCACUGCUGUUAUCUCGAGGAGCAGACGUCAAUGCUCACGGCAAUUAUCACAUAUCCUCUUUGUUGUGGGCUGCGGGUCGAGGAUACGCAGAUAUUCUCAAAGACUUGAUAGCCCAUGGUGCUAAAGUCAACGUCGGUGACAAGUAUGGGACAUCGGCCUUGGUUUGGUCAUGUCGUAAGGGGAACAUAGAGAUUGUUGACGCGUUAUUGAAGGCCGGAGCAAACGUUGACACUGCUGGCAUGUAUUCGUGGACAGCUUUGCUAGUCGCUACUUUGGGAAAUCACGUCGACGUUGUCAUGCUACUUUUGGAGUAUAAACCGAACGUCAACGCGUUGGACAAAGACGGGUGCACAGCUCUGGCUAUUGCAUGCAGAGAGGGACAUCAUGAAAUAGCCAAUGCUCUUGUAAUCGCCGGGGCGUAUAUCAACAUACAAGACAGAGCCGGUGACACCAAUUUAAUUCACGCUGUUAAGGGAGGUCACAGGGGUGUGGUUGAAACUCUUAUAAAGAAAUACGCCGACGUUGAUAUAGCUGGAAAGGAUAAAAAAACGGCGAUUUACAUCGCUGUUGAAAAGGGAAAUGUUGCGAUGGUCAAGUUGUUGUUGACAGCCAAUCCUGAUCUGGAGAUUCCAACGAAGGAUGGCGACACUCCGCUACUUCGUGCUGUGAGGUCGCGUAACGCCGAAAUUGUUCAACUUCUACUCGACAAGAAAGCAAAGGUUUCGGCGGCCGACAAAAAGGGUGAUACCGUGCUUCACAUCGCCAUGCGGGCCAGGUCGAAAGCUAUCGUUGAAAUAUUAUUACGGAAUCCUAAGAAUAGCCAGCUACUCUACCGGCCAAAUCGACAGGGAGAGACACCCUACAAUAUAGAUAUCAAUCAUCCGAAGACGAUACUGGGACAAAUAUUUGGUGCUAGACGAUUGAACACUAAUGAGGACAAUGAAAAUAUGCUUGGAUAUGAUCUGUACAGUAGCGCGUUAGCCGACAUUCUCAGUGAACCUUCACUCUCCACACCGAUUACUGUCGGUCUCUAUGCAAAAUGGGGCUCUGGGAAAUCAUUUUUACUCAACAAGCUUAGAGAGGAGAUGAAAAAUUUUGCACGACAAUGGAUGGAUCCAGUAUUCCAGUUUUCGUCAUUACUGUUCCUUGUCGUUGUUCACAUAUCUUUACUAAUCGGAGUGAUACUGGGCCUUUCCCUUCAAUCCUGGAUCAUUGGACUUGCCAUUGGCGUUACUUUUAUCGUUGUACUCUACGUGUUCCUGCUUCUUGUUUGGUACGCCAAUCAAAGAUACGACUGGUACUGGCCGUACAAUUUCAACGUAGCUCUCACCAGAAAAUUGAACAACUUGAAGCUACUGCUUCAAGUUAUGUUUUGCCAUCCACCCGGUGCUCAAGUUGGCGAUUCUCCCAGUGCUCAGCCUACCAAAUUUUACUUCACCGAUCAAACUCGCGUUGGCACAACUUCGGCGGGUGAAAAUGCGGUUGUACAAAUGGUCGGAUCCUUGUAUGACUCGAUCGAAAAUGAUUACGGGUCGCUAGUUACCAGACUUUAUAGAGCAUUCAGACCAAAAAUGGCAAAAUCGACAUCGUCCUGGAAAUGGAGACACGUUUGUUGCUUGCCCUAUAUUGUGAUAUUCGAAAUUUGCUUCGGCUCGCUUCUGGUCGGAGUCUCGAUACUUACCGUCUACCUUAUCGAGUUCAAGAAUUCUGACCGUGUUAUCGAACAAGUAACCGCUCAUGCGAUUCUGUUAACAGUUGGGCUGCUGCUUUCCGUUGGCAUUAUAGCCAACUUGUAUACAUGGAGCAGGAUGCUGCACGCCUUGGUAUUUUCUCAAAGAAGGCAUUUACAACGGAGUAUUUCAAAGCUGGAAACGUUGAAAAGCGAAGGAUUUAUACAGACUUUACGGUCGGAGGUCAAUUUAAUGACUGAAAUGGUGAAAUGUUUGGAUAGAUUUACUUCACAACAGAGUCGGCUAGUGGUUGUUGUCGAUGGGUUGGACAGUUGCGAACAAGACAAAGUACUCCUAGUCCUCGAUGCUAUUCAAGCGUUAUUCAGCGACAAUCACUGCCCGUUUAUCGUCAUCUUAGCCAUUGAUCCUCACGUCAUUGCCAAGGCGGUGGAAGUGAAUAGCAGGAGACUAUUUACAGAAUCCAAUAUUGGCGGUCACGACUACCUUCGCAACAUGGUUCACCUACCGUUUUACCUUCAAAAUAGUGGCUUACGAAAGCUGAAAGUGGCCCAACAGACGGCCCAGUAUCACAAAAAGAGUGCUUGGACAGAAGCAGAGGACAGUAUUAACUAUGCAACAACAAGCGCCAUUCAUCACUCGGUCUCAAACAGGAGACUCAGCACCGAAUCGGGCGUUAUGAAUAGCACAGAAAAAUUGAAACCUCCGAGCAGAAAGAACAGCAGGAAACUCAGGCUGAGCGAAUCUGUAGCUAGCAGUAUUGGCAGCAACUUGAAUAGACUGGGCGGCGCUCAUGAUUUGAAUAAAAUGUUGCUCACCGAUGAUUACUUUAGCGAUGUAAAUCCUCGUAGUAUGAGACGACUUAUGAACGUAGUAUACGUUACAGGAAGACUGCUGAAAGCAUUCCAAAUAGAUUUUAAUUGGUAUCAUCUGGCCAGUUGGAUCAACAUCACAGAACAGUGGCCUUUUAGAACUUCUUGGAUGAUCCUACAUUAUGAUCUCUAUGAAGAAACGCUUGACGAUUCCACAUCCCUCAAAGCUCUGUACGAUAAAGUGCGACCUCAGAUACCGGUACUAAAAGACGUUCAACCCCUAUUGGAGAUGGAUAGAGACGAGCGAAAACUCGAUGUAUUUCUUACUUUUCAUCGAUCUAGUCUUUUGAUAUCAGAUAUGAAAAUAUUCCUUCCGUUUACGAUAAAUCUCGAUCCAUAUAUAAAGAAAAAGAUUAAAGAAGAGCAGCAGGUAAUCGACGAGGAGAGUAUGACUUCUGGUAUGUACAAACCAGCCGCGCCAUGGAACAAUCACGUCAAUCAUCAGGAACACUGGCCACCCAGUAAAAGCGUGUUAACUAAUCGCCAACACAGAUCAUCCAGAGGAAACAAUGAACAACGUCCGUUACAGCCAGGCUGGGUUGCACAAUCGGCAAUGGAUUGGCAGCCUCCACCAUGGGUACAUUUGCCACCUAUGGAACCGGCGCCUAGGCCAAUAUCUGCAAUCACUAGUCUUCCGCCAGACAUUUUGGAAAUGAAAUUAUCGAAUCUCUCGGUUAAUGGAGUUUGCGAUCUCCUUGGCAAAGUAGAAGAACUAAGUCCAGCCCAAGCAGCCCGUUACAAAAAUGUCAUCAGGGAAAAUAAUAUAAGUGGCCGAGUACUACUUCACUGUGAUCUACAAGAGCUGAAAAAAGUACUUAAAAUGGGAUUCGGAGAUUGGGAACUUUUCCGUAUCGUUAUUGCGUCUCUUAGGGAAGCGGAACUUUCAUCUUUUACAACUCAUGAAGAAGGUCCUCGCAGCGUUCGAUUUACCGUAGGGUCAGAGCAAAUCACACGCAAAGAACCAACGCCGCAAAAUGUUUCAUCGCGACCUGUUGUUGUGGAAAAAGAUAAGUCUACAUCACGAACCGAUGGCUCUUCUAGACGAGAUCCGAGCAAGCAAUCUGUAAUGGAAAAACAGUAUCAGGUAACCCUUGAGGAACAAAUGAUCUGCGGAGCCCUGCAGACGUUGAAUGAGGAGGCGUGCGAAGAUGUGCUAGAUGUACCUUCGCCAGCAACAGCUCCAACCGACUCACUUCCAGAGAGAAUCAUGGAGAUACGAAUGAUUCUGGGACUUUUCCUGAUGAUCACUGCGGCGUCGGGAUGGAACGUUACGUUUGAAUCGCAGACGGUGACGGUUCACAUGCACGAGACACUUUCCGUGGCAUUCACCGCCAACGUAACAGAGGCCGACGUUGCAAACGGGACCGUCGUCGUCUCGACGACGAGAGAAUCCGUAGCAAGCGUUGAUGAUUUGCCGGUGUUGGAUUCGAGCACGGUGAACGAUUUGGUUUGGAGUAGCAACCUUGUCGUGUCCGGUAACUUUCUCGGCAAUGCCGACAUCCUUCUGUCCAUCGUAUCUCCCGACCAGGAGAACAAGACCUCGGACGCCCUGUCGGUGAUCGUUAUUCGAGAAGAGCGUAUCAUCGAUACACUUUUCACAGUAUUCGUUGCCGUCAUGGUCUCAAUAAUGUACAUCAACUUUGGCGCUGCCAUGGACUGGCCACUCUGCAAACGUACCUUGAAGCGACCGAUCGGUCCGACGAUCGGGUUCGUUUGCCAGUUUGUCUGGAUGCCGCUGUCCUGUUUCCAGACGAUCCUGAACUGCGGUUGGGGAUGUUUUUCGCCGGGGUGAGUCCUGCCGGAGGUGCAUCUAAUAUUUGGACAGUAAUUUUGGGCGGCAAUCUCAAUUUAUCUGUAACAAUGACCACCAUCAGUACAUUGGCAGCGUUUGGCAUGAUGCCGCUGUGGAUCUUCACCCUUGGGAGUACGAUUUUCAACAGUGCAAACCUCGGGGUUCCGUACUCGAGGAUAGCAAUGUUCGCAGUUGGUCUUGUCAUUCCAUUGGGUAUCGGAUUCCUGAUUCAGAAAAAACU
rnacentral:misc_RNA from 1 species